rnacentral:tRNA from 1 species
UGCGGGAUCGUCUAGUGGUAGGACGUCUGUCUCUGGAACAGAAAGCCCUGGUUCGAAUCCAGGUCCCGCGGCCA